GUAAUUUUUCGGUGGCCCAUAUCCACGAACGAUAAUCACUGGUUGGCUCGUGACAGAUCUCCGACAGUAGGCUUAAUCCACGCAUUCUCGCCGCAUUGAUUCUACGUCCGGUCUAGGCCAAUUUAAAUUUUCAGACGGGUCUCUCUCUCUCUAUUCGGAGGCCUGAUUAUACGUCUCGUGCCCGCGAGAGUUACGCGACUCGAAUUUUUUAUUAGCCACCACGAGACGAUAGGGAAGCUGCAUAUAGUUUCGCAAAAUCUUCGAAAAUAAUUCGAUUAAAAUGCAUAUGAGGAGGAAUUAACGUGGACGUGGGGGACUUGCCCCGCUCCUCGUCGAGGUUACUCGCCGUGUGGAGCUGACUCGAUGAUAGAACGGGUCGAUUAGCAACGUUAAAAGGCACCCCGUGGAAUUCGGGAACAGAAAACUAAUUUGAAGAAGCGCGGUUCAAGUUUCGGCUUGUUGCUUUAUUUCUGCACGGAUACUUGCGAUUCGAAUGCUUGGUCAUGAUUAAAACAUGUCUCCCCUCGUCCCUCUUCCAAACAACUCCCUCCUCGGUUGGAUCCGUUUUAAUUGGCCGAGGGGUUGGUUCGGGCUAUUGUCGCGAACGAAAAUUGAACUGUUAGUCAUCUUAAUGGGGACGGUUCGUGGAAUUUAAAUUAAUCGACCCGAGAGAGUAUUACUUAUAAGUUGUCCAGUUUGACAACUUAUUCGAUAUUUAACGAGGAACAUUAGUAUCCUUAAAACACAAUUUAUAAAUUUCAUCCAUGAAUCUAACAUCUUUGAUAAUUUCUUCCUGUGAAUCAACUUCGAACCCGUAAUGAAUGAAUUACACGAAUCAUAAAUUGUUUAUAUAACAAACAGAAUAAUAUACAAGUUUUCAUUUCCGGAUUUGUAUCCCGACAAAGUUGUCGAAUCGAAUCUUCGUUGCACCCUCCAUUAUUCGAAAUCACCCACCACAAAUUAAAACAAAAAUAAAAUACAAAAACAUCCACACGUGUAUCGCUCCACGACCUCGUAAAUAUCACGAAUACAAAUGUUUUCAUCGCGAUUUCCAUAAGAGAAAAGACGGGGAAAGAAGUUGGAGGUUAGAAGAGGAUUCCCGAUACGUGGAAGGGAGCCGGUAACUAUUUAUACGAAUUCGUCAUGGGAAAACGUUGCCGAAGGCGAUGCAUCAGAGGCGCGGUGGUGCGUUACCGCUCAAAGCGGUUUUCACCCCGCGGAACGGAGUGACGAUCGCCGGUUAUUAUUGGCGCCAAAGGGCGCCCACGCAAGCGACCCGCCACGCGAUGCGCGAGCGCGAAACCCCGGGCUAAUUCGUUUUUCUUCGUACAACAGAGAGGGGCAAACGUACGACUUUGGCGGCCGCCCAAAACGGAUGAAUUAUAACGGAGGCCGGCGCGGGAUCUCUUGGCACCGGGCUAACGUCUCACGCGAAACGUUAUAAAUUCUCGCGACGCGCUUAACGCGCGAUAAGCCCGCCAGAGUGGAGGAAAUCUCGUGCCACGCGAUAAAAACGCCCGUGUCGGGGCGGCCGUGCCGAGUGUUGGCGGUUAUUGUUGUUGGAUUCGAUUCUUUUUCUUUUUUUUCUUUUUUUCCCCUCCUACCGUCAGGUUCUCUCCGUUUUUUAUUCUCUUAUUCCAGGAUGGGAUUAGGUACGCGAUGGAAUGGGGUACGGAAAUGGAGAUUCGAGAGCGAAGCGUUUUAUUUGCGUUGGCGGGUGGAUGAAUUGAAAUUUGAGAAAGUUGGUCGACGCGGUAUUUAUUUUAAAUGGGAUUGAUCAAUGAUUUUUUGGAAGGUGGAGAAAGUUCUUGUAUUUACGUGUAUAAGAGAUUAAUGUAUGGGUAAUUGAUAUUAUGACGAGUUUAAAUUUAUACAUGACUAAAUAUAAGGAAGAUGGGUAUUAAGGGGUUAUUGUUUAUUAGUUGAUUGAUAAUCAAGAAAGAAAACGCGAUUCUUUUAAGAAGAAAUCAAACAUUGCAUCGAAAACUUCCACCAUUAAAUCAUCUUUAAAAUUAUUCGUAGAAUUUCUGAUUAGGUUCGAUCGAUAAAAAAAUUUCAUCAAGCUCAAAAAUUAGUGCGUCAACCGAGUCGUUGAUGGAAAAUUUCAUUUUAAAUUAUUUCGCAAAUUGGUAAAAAAGAAGAAAUAGUGAUCAAUAGUCGCGUUUCCUCCUAGUAUUAUCAUUCCUUUUUCAAAUUAUUAAUAGAUAAAAAGAAAAAAAUACCGUGUCACGCUUCAUUUUCGAAAAAAAACCCCACGCCAACUACCAUUUCCACGGAACUCGAAACCACUUACCCAUACUUACCCAACUCGAGCACCUGAUUUAUAAUAUUCUCUUCUCGAGGCAAACAUCUCAAAACCCGCGCUCAGACGCCUCUCAGGUUAGUCUUAAAACCUCGCCAGACGAUUUCGCAAUUCGAGAUUGAAAGCGGCUAAACAAAUAAAUGCAUCGAUCAUUAGUACUGGCACGAGAGCGCGGCUCUUCUAUACCGCGUGUGCACACGUGGGCGCUCUCCUACACGUCCCCUGCGUAUAGGUUAUGUUGCGUGCGACUACAAGCGCGCGCGCGCGCGUGUGUGCGUGCCCGUUCGAGCGUGAGCAGACGUCGAGGGAGCGUGGAGUGCCGUGGGACACGAACGAGUAGGCUGAAGAGACGUCGGAAGAGGAAGAGGAGAGACAUGGCACUCACGACUGCGAAUACUCGAGAGAGAGAGAGAGAGGGAGAAGAAGAAGCGACUGCGGAUGAGAGAGAGAGAGAGACGAGCGAGAUCUGGCACCCGUUGACGUGGAUAGAAGAGAGAAGGAGAAGAGCAGCUUAGUCCCACGCGACGGCUCGUGGCUCCUCGUGGCCGACGCGCGUCGCGUCGUCGCGUCGCCCUUUGUCGGGGAUUGAUAGCGAAAUCGGGGAUAAAUCAGAUAGCGUCUCCGCGUUCCGCGUCUCGCGGCCAUUAUGCGCGAGGAACUCGAUGGGUUAGAGUGUUUCUUUUUCUUUUUUUCUUUUCUUUUCUUUUUUUUUUUCUUCCUCCCCUAUUUUUAUGGAACUCCUCUUUGCUUCGUUCUUUUCCCUCGUCGCCUCUUGUGUUGAUAGUGAAAUGGAGCUGUGAAUGUGGGUGGAGGUUCUUUGAACUCGUGGGAAGACGAGGUUCUUUUUUGGUGAGGUUUCAAAGAGGUGUGCUCGAACGUGUGUUUGGAACGUUUUGUAAGAGGCGAUUGAAUGCCGGUUUUUGUCGUCUUUCGAGGAUUUUGAUUAUUCGAGUCGGAAUGGGAUCGAAUUUUGAACGAUUUUCUCGUCAAGGUUGGAAGGAUUAUCGUGAUCUCGGCUCGAUUUAUAGGUUAUCUCUAAUGGCGAUCUCGUUUUUCGACGUGAUCUGCGACAUAACCUAAAAAUUCGCAUCUUUCGAGUUAUACUGUACGAUUAAGAUAAGAAAAUUCAAUUUCACCCAAGUUCCAAUUAAUCCUCUUCGCCUUCCUCCUCGAUUCUCACGGAAGUCCCAUCUAUUUCCCAACUCGAAGACAUCUCAGCCAGGGUAUGUAACCCACGAGGAAAGCCAAAAGCCCACGACGUCCAUUCGUAUGGCGACAUUUGCUCGCGCAACCUCCAAUUAAUGCGGCACGAAGCGGAAAAAACGAGAGGAGAAUAAGAGAAGGCAGAAAGAAACCAGCCAUGAACUUUCAUAAGCGGUUCGUGGGAGAGCGAAGGAGGAGGGCUCCACUUCAUUAGCCCGAUACCACGCGACUGUCGGUGGCUCCCCAUGGCGUGCAACCGUCGCGUCGCUCUCAUUCGCUCUGCCUGCGGAGAAAGGGAAGAAGGCACGGUGGGAACUCGCCUUAAGGUCGCGGCGUUACCGUGCACGGUCGCGUGUGGUUUACGCGCUCCUCCGUUUUGACCUCGUGAAGCGUUUAAAUGGAAAGUUAAGGUAAACGCGCCAAUUAAGGCCGCGCUCGCCGCCGGAUCGCGCGUAGUCGGCGUAGUCAAAGGCUGGGAUCGAGGGCUGUCUAUCCGAGAUGGAUCGUCGGGAUAACGGAAUAAGUCGAUCGAGAUGGAAGCAUCGAUCUCGAUCGAGCGGCGAGAUCGGCGGAAACACGUGGAGAUGAGAACGCGACCUUUUAGGUUAGGUUUCAGGAAGUUUCAAGAUAAUUUAAAUUUAGUUGUAAUACUCUGGAUAUUUAUGCAAGAUAUAAAAUUGUUAUGAAGGAUUAUUAAAGAAAUGGAGCUUCAAUGGAAAUUUGCCUUUUUUAAAUAUCCGCGUCUUGAUUUGUCAUGCUCCGUGAAUUCUUCUUGUUAACGAAGAAUGGUAGAGAAAAAAAGGAGGAUAACCUAGAAAAGGAAACGAAGGAUUCACUCGUUACGCUUCCUUACGACAAACGUGAGAACAAGUUGAAAAAUGUACUUGCAUGGACAGAAUAGAAUUAACAAGUAUUCUCGUCUUCGUCGUAUAAGGAUCGGUAUAUAAUAACAAUUCAAAGAGUUUAAUAAUCAAUGUACAACAAACUCGUUUCCUAGUAAUCAUUCGUGCCAAAACUAAUUCUAAAUAAACAAAAAAAAUAAAGUAAAAGUAUUAAGAAUUAUAUUCAGCACAUCUUCAGACACGUACGAGCUGUUCCAUUCAAUUUAAAUCCCCGUUCGAUUCCCUUCGCAUCGAAUCCCCGAACGCCGAUUGCCUUCCGUCAGCGAUUCCUAAGCGGCGAAGAGACGGCCUCGAGAGAUCUCGGUUCAGAAACGCGUGGCGUUCCACGAAGCGACGUGCGUGGCUGCCGCCGGCACGCCGCGCGAACGUGUUAAGUGUUAAUUCAGCUGAAUCAAUAUACACUCCGUGGAAUUUUGAAUCGGAUUCGCGCCACGCGCGCGUGGGCGCAUCUCCGCAGGAAAUAGCGCGCCUGGAGCCAGCCUUGGGAUGGAAGGAACGGGCAACGGAGCGGUUGAGUGACACGAGAGACUGCGGCCUCCACGGGAGCGUGUACGCGUUGUAUCUCAAUAUCUUGAUCUUACGUUUACUAAACUCCUACAACGGUUCCCGCCAUGAAAUACGACGCGGUCGGCCAGAGAAGCUUUACUUAUAACGGCCUGGACAAAUUACGACUGGCGCGUGACUAAAAUGGUCACGCCGGACGAAUUGUCGAUCGUUAACACCUCCGUGCCAGCGAGCGCGCCAGCACUAUUUGCAUGAGGUUGGCUUUUACCAGCGCGCAAAAAUAGGAGGCAGGAAAAAUUGACGGGGAAAAUGCCAUUUGUCGUGGGCAUUCGAUCUGGUACUGCAUAUAUAUGUAUAUGUAUACAUGUAUAUAUUUAUAUAUGAAAAACAUGAAAAUUUUUGAAUGCAAUACUUGAAACAUUCAGCCAACAUGAUCUUAACCGAUUCCAUUUAUUGCGAUUUAUUUGUUACGAGAAUGGAAAUAGGAUUAAAGCUAUUAUUAUUCAUAAUCUGGCGAUAAAAAUGUGAUAAAUUGAAUUGUUAGAUAAAUAUGUUAAUCUAUAUAAUUAAUAUUAAUGUAUUAUGAACGGAUUUUAAAGGAAAAAGACUAAUAAUUAUUACAAAGAAACAUUUUUAUUUUUGUUAAAAAUAGUUUCUACUAGAAAUUAAAGAUAUGAAUAAAUAAUGGAUAUAAAUAUGAAAAUUAAUAUGAAAAUACGUAUCUUCCUGAUGAAUAUUAUACAUGUACAAAUCCUUAGAAAAUUUUCUCAAUAUUGUAAAAAAUCUUAUUCAAGAA